rnacentral:rRNA from 1 species
GACGUAGGGCGCGAGCGUUGUCCGGAUUUAUUGGGCGUAAAGAGCUCGUAGGCGGCUUGUCGCGUCGUCCGUGAAAACCUGCGGCUCAACCUUGGGCUUGCAGUGGGUACGGGCAGACUAGAGUGCGGUAGGGGUGACUGGAAUUCCUGGUGUAGCGGUGGAAUGCGUAGAGAUCGGGAAGAACAUCGGUGGCGAAAGCGCUCUGCUGGACUGCAACUGACACUCAGGGACGAAAGCUAGGGGAGCGAAUGGG